CGGGGCGUAGCACAGCCCGGUAGUGCGCUUGCUUUGGGAGCAAGAAGUCGUAGGUUCGAAUCCUAUCGCCCCGACCA
rnacentral:tRNA from 2 species